rfam:Ancylostoma duodenale strain Zhejiang A_duodenale-1.0_Cont250545.1, whole genome shotgun sequence.
GCCCGAUUAGCUCAGUCGGUAGAGCACCAGUCUCUUAAUCUGGCUGUCGCGGGUUCGACCCCCGCAUCGGGCU